rfam:Picea glauca, whole genome shotgun sequence.
GUGGUUGUAGUUUAGUGGUGAGAAUUCCACGUUGUGGCCGUGGAGAUUUGGGCUCGAAUCCCAACAACCACA